AACACUCAUAAAUUCUUAAGAAUUAAAAAGUAACAGAAUGGUGGCAAGGGAAAAAUGGAAAACAGAAUCAACAGGGGCCUCACUCACCACCUGCUGCCACUGUGUGGUAGGGUGAAACCCAGGCCCCAACAAUC